GAUACAGCAGACUCAGGUACUCACACACCCUCUGCCCCUGCUCAGUGAGAUACAGCAGACUCAGGUACAAAAAACACACCCUCUGUCCCUGCUCAGUGAGAUACAGCAGACUCAGGUACUCACACACACCCUCUGCCCCUGCUCAGUGAGAUACAGCAGACUCAGGUACAAAAAACACACCCUCUGUCCCUGCUCAGUGAGAUACAGCAGACUCAGGUACUAACACACACCCUCUGUCCCUGCUCAGUGAGAUACAGCAGACUCAGGUACUCACACACCCUCUGGCCCUGCUCAGUGAGAUACAGCAGACUCAGGUACUCACAAAGCCUAUGUCCCUGCUCAGUGAGAUACAGCAGACUCAGGUACUCACACACACCCUCUGCCCCUGCUCAGUGAGAUACAGCAGACUCAGGUACUCACACACCCUCUGGCCCUGCUCAGUGAGAUACAGUAGACUCAGGUAC